CUACGUGCCAGCAGCCGCGGUAAUACGUAGGGUGCGAGCGUUAAUCGGAAUUACUGGGCGUAAAGCGAGCGCAGACGGUUACUUAAGCAGGAUGUGAAAUCCCCGGGCUUAACCUGGGAACUGCGUUCUGAACUGGGUGACUAGAGUGUGUCAGAGGGAGGUAGAAUUCCACGUGUAGCAGUGAAAUGCGUAGAGAUGUGGAGGAAUACCGAUGGCGAAGGCAGCCUCCUGGGAUAACACUGACGUUCAUGCUCGAAAGCGUGGGUAGCAAACAGGAUUAGAUACCCUGGUAGUCCACGCCCUAAACGGUGUCAAUUAGCUGUUGGGCAACUUGAUUGCUUAGUAGCGUAGCUAACGCGUGAAAUUGACCGCCUGGGGAGUACGGUCGCAAGAUUAAAACUCAAAGGAAUUGACGGGGACCCGCACAAGCGGUGGAUGAUGUGGAUUAAUUCGAUGCAACGCGAAGAACCUUACCUGGUCUUGACAU
rnacentral:rRNA from 1 species